rnacentral:lncRNA from 1 species
CAUAAAUAACAUAACAAAAUAAUUGGAACAUGGAUAGAAUGAAAUAUUAUCCCAAAACCAUGUACAACAAUAGCAUAACUACCCAAAUGAUUCGGGGAUAAACAAGGUAAUCAGGAUAAACAGACUAGGGUGACCUAUUGGGUCCCAUCAAAAUUAAACUUAUGCAUUGAAUAGUGAUAAUAAAUAACAUUAUUGGAUAACGAAAGUGUAUCAAGGGCACAACUUGCCUGGCACUUGAGAUUCCAGUAACCAGGGUGAUUCUUCAAAUCCUCGUGACCUCGCGCUAGUCGUAGCAAUACAAACAGAAAUGAUAUAGACAAAAUUAACAUCAUACCAAACAUAAGAACAUAUUGCAUAAUAAUGAUCUACGCGUCGCUACGAGAUCGCGGGAACGAGAACUACUAAGAUCGAAGUUACUAUUAAGGAGUUAUGAUUUUAUAGAGGAUUUAUGUGAUUAAAACAUUAAACUAUACUAUAAAUUGGCUAAUAUAAGUCAUAUAAGAGGUUAUUAUAAAAAUAAUUAUCUUAACUUUAAUCUAAGUGAUAAAUUGACCAUAUAUCAUAUUCUAGUAGUCUAUAAUGAUAAGCAGUUUAACCAGACUAACCAACAUCAGUUGAAUACAGAUCUAAUUAUAAAAUAAUGAGACAUAGUAUAAUAAAUGUUGUUAUUGUAUAGUAAAUAUUUGUACGGGACUAAUGCAACUUGAACGGAUCAAAUCGAGGUUAUAGAUUUUAAGUUAUGAAUUUCUAAGUAUUUUAUGUGUUUUGUACAAGAUUAAAUAGGAUAUAAAAUUUAAUUUGAUUUUCAUGCGAAAACAGUGGUACUAGAUGAUAAACCAUAAUAUUACAAAAUUAUAAGAACUGGAAUGGACUAAAAAGGUGUUAGUAUGGAUUUUCUAUGAAUAAAAUGAGUUUCUGGAAUUAUUUAUAUACUAAAAAUCAUUUUAUAUAAUUAAAUAUUUAUUUUCUCUGCUCCCUGGACUGCGCACACUAAUUCCGAGAAGUUCAGGGUGGAUUCUGUAAAAGUCUGGACUUCAGCGUAAAUAACUUAUAACAGAUCAGGACUGUGGGUUGAUAUUAAUAAACAGAGGGGCCUCUUCUGCAUAUUAUCCCAACCGCCAAGCAUCCAGGGCCGCACGAUCACGAUCCAGCGCACCAGAUUAAAUCCCGAUCCCAAGUGUGAUGCUGGCCCUUGGAUCCUAGAUUUGCGAUCCCGACACAUCUAUGCACCAGGCCACUGAGCUAGCUAUUCACUAGACCGCCGAUGGAAAGAUCUACGCCACGGGGAUGAUCCCCUUCCUAACACCGUCGGUCACGGUAGCACAAUCGUCGAACGCGACUGCGCCCACAUUUCUUCUACCUCUGACCGACCGCGGCGACAGUCAGUGCCGAUCCCGUAGUCACGCGGCGGCAAUCCAUGGCCGGACCCGCCUACAACCUAGCGCAACGAUUCAGAGUGUGGGGGUAGAAGCUGGCGAGGUCGCAUGGAAGACAUACCCCAAUCCUCGCCGAGGCAAUUCCCAGAAGUCGCCGCGCCACCCCACGAUGACACCACGAGGUUCUUCAUCGGUGUAUGCAAAACGGCGGCGCGGAAGGAGAUGGCCUUCUAGUAGUCACAGAGGGGGAGAGUUUGGCACCGACCUCCACGCGCAGCUAGGGUCCACCCCCAGGGCGACCACGACGGUCCGUCACCAAGCCCCGACGAGCACCCAGCGCGACAUCUCUGUUAUCAGCGCCCAGCCACAGUCUUCGCCACACGAGGAUACAGCCAGGUGCGGCGCGCGCCUACGAUCUUCAGAAGCAUUGAGUUGGCUUAGGCAAAGGUGCGAUUGCGACCUCAAUCAACUGACUGCGAUCUCAAUUUUCUCUCUGCUAUCCGACGUGCACGCGAUGAUGGCUACAACCUGG